rnacentral:rRNA from 1 species
AACAGGAUUAGAUACCCUGGUAGUCCACGCCCUAAACGAUGUCAACUAGUUGUUGGGGAUUCAUUUCCUUAGUAACGAAGCUAACGCGUGAAGUUGACCGCCUGGGGAGUACGGUCGCAAGAUUAAAACUCAAAGGAAUUGACGGGGACCCGCACAAGCGGUGGAUGAUGUGGAUUAAUUCGAUGCAACGCGAAAAACCUUACCUACCCUUGACAUGUACGGAAUCCUGCUGAGAGGUGGGAGUGCUCGAAAGAGAACCGUAACACAGGUGCUGCAUGGCUGUCGUCAGCUCGUGUCGUGAGAUGUUGGGUUAAGUCCCGCAACGAGCGCAACCCUUGUCCUUAGUUGCUACGCAAGAGCACUCUAAGGAGACUGCCGGUGACAAACCGGAGGAAGGUGGGGAUGACGUCAAGUCCUCAUGGCCCUUAUGGGUAGGGCUUCACACGUCAUACAAUGGUCGGUACAGAGGGCUGCCAAACCGCGAGGUGGAGCUAACCCCAGAAAACCGAUCGUAGUCCGGAUCGCAGUCUGCAACUCGACUGCGUGAAGCUGGAAUCGCUAGUAAUCGCGGAUCAGCAUGUCGCGGUGAAUACGUUCCCGGGUCUUGUACACACCGCCCGUCACACCAUGGGAGUGGGUUUUGCCAGAAGUAGGUAGCCUAACCGUAAGGAGGGCGCUUACCACGGCAGGAUUCAUGACUGGGGUGAAGUCGUAACAAGGUAACC